UCUUUCUAUCUUUGAUUGACUGGCAGCUAACGCUCACAGGAAAACGUUGUUUUCUACCGUUUUUUGACCAGUUAGCCGACUAAACCUGCUGAUAAGAUGAAAAUAUAUUUGUUAUUAUGUGUUUUGAGUGCUUCAAGACAUGGAAGAGGGAUUUUUGUGGCCAGGAGAAGUAAAAUUAUUUGGAUAAAAAGACUUCCGGUCGCCAUUUUGAGUCGCUAAUUUGGACAUAUUUGAGGACAAAUAUGCAUCAAAUAAUCUUCUUGAAGAUGAAAUCMGAGGCAGUGAUUGGUCCAUGCCGGGGUUUCGUAACGUCAUCCAGGAUCAGCUUUGCAAAUCAUCUCUUCGCAUGAUUCUAUUGGAAUGUUUUAUGGGUGUGUCCAAACGACUCGACAGCGCCACCUAAUGUGAGAGAGGAACUGCGAGGCCAUUGUGAGAGCAGUGAGUGCUUGACCACAGAGGGGAAGUUGGCUCGGAGAAAAGGAAGUGCUUGGCGCAGCAAGUCAGGGACUAAAAACUUCUGGAAUUUCUUCAGAUCUUUACGAUGUCGAUCCGUCCAGGACGGCAGCGCAGCCGACUGAACAGUGAUUUUCCGGCUGUAAAGAGACGACCACAUUCAGCCACGUCUGCCAGGACCAGCGGAGGAAAACUCACGUUGUGUCCAACCCAUCUGGACCCAGACAGGAUGUGGUUCCUGAACAGUUUUCAGACUUCAAAACUGAAACUUUAUAUAUAAAUCCAGGUUCUACACAGUUCCCAUCACAAGACGUGCCUGAAUGCUGACAUACAUACUUUUUAUGAUCUGAGAGCAACGAAUAUCCAGGAAGACGCCGACAGGAGGAAGGUCCAGCUGCAGCCACUACAAUUAUUGGACAGCAGGAAAAGCUGAUCGAGGUAAACAAUGACUAUAGCUGCGUUUCCAUUGCAAAUGUGCACAAAACUUUGUCCAUUAAGUAAGAAAUGUUAU